rnacentral:rRNA from 1 species
GACGAACCGUGCGAACGUUGUUCGGAAUCAUUGGGCUUAAAGGGCGCGUAGGCGGGCCGCCGAGUCCGGGGUGAAAUCCUCCAGCUUAACUGGAGAACUGCCCCGGAUACUGGAGGUCUCGAGGAGGGUAGGGGCAUGCGGAACUGUGGGUGGAGCGGUGAAAUGCGUUGAUAUCCACAGGAACUCCGGUGGCGAAGGCGGCUCACUGGUCCGGAACUGACGCUGAGGCACGACAGCGUGGGGAGCAAACAGG